AUUGAACGCUGGCGGCAUGCCUUACACAUGCAAGUCGAACGGCUAGCGGGCCUUCGGGUGCCGGCGAGUGGCGAACGGUGAGUAAUGCAUCGGAACGUGCCAUUGAGUCGGGGAUAACGUAGCGAAAGUUACGCUAAUACCGCAUAUUCUGUGAGCAGGAAAGCAGGGGACCGCAAGGCCUUGCGCUCUUUGAGCGGCCGAUGUCAGAUUAGCUAGUUGGUGAGUAAAGGCUUACCAAGGCGACGAUCUGUAGCGGGUCUGAGAGGAUGAU
rnacentral:rRNA from 1 species